rnacentral:lncRNA from 1 species
GCUGCGAAUUUUAAGUGCACUGUGUUAUCUGUGUUGUGGCCUGACUUAAGUUUAAGGAAUUGCAAUAAUGCUGCUGCAUUUCUGGGGUUUGAGACACCAGAUGAUAGGGUUCAACUGGGAGACCAUUCAUCUGCAUUAGACCAAUGUCUUUCAAUGGAGCAUGGGAUCAUACAGGAGAGAAGUAAGCAAACAAAUUCUUCAUUUCAGCAUGAUUGUGUAAAGAACAUUGUGUUUCAGGCUUCUCCCACCUAUACUUCUCCUUCAUUGUGUUUAUAGAAGAAGGUAAUUUGGUAUCUGGUCUUUGGCUGUUGUCCACAAAUACUCUAUGUUGAGACAAAGAAGACUUCAUUUAAUUUUUCUUUUUUUUCCAUUCCUGAAAAUGCAAUACAACAUUUUUUAUUAUUUUUUUUUUUAAGAUCAGACAUAUAUUGAACAUAAUUUAUCCAUGCAGUUGUAACAAGUUUCAGUCAUACUUAGUCUAGGCUGACCACACUUACAGGAGGCUCUGUGGUAAGUAGCACAUCCCAAAAGGAUUCUAUGUGAUGUGUUCUGUCCUUGUCAUACUAUAUAUAGCUAUUACAUUUUAGGGAUCUUUUUUAAUUUUAGGUGAGCAGCUUAUCCUGCUGUUUUUCUUGGGUUUGCUGACAUGCUGGAUCUGUUUUACAUUUGUGUUUGGCUAUGCUGGUAUCGGUAGAUCACUUUAGAGCUUUGCCUUACUCCCAGUUUGUGCUUGCCCUGCACUGGAGAGCUGACAAACCUGCCAUCAUUUUUCUUUGUGACAUACAGUAGGGCCUUCUUUUUACAAAGUACUUGGUUUGUGUCCUGGGGCUCUCAGCUGUGGAGAUUUGAUGUAUGGCUCACUUUGUCAAGUUUCGUGGUUCCUGUAAUAUUUCAUUCUCCUGCUGGUACUGAUUUAACACCUCAACUCCUGGCCAUAAAUUUAAGCCAAAAGUUAACUAUGUAGAUUAGAUGUAGAUAUUUUUUAUUAAUUAUAGAAAUAGAAGUUGCAAUGUGUUUUUCUUUAUAGUUUUUAAACAUUGGAAUGGACUGCUGAGGGAGGCAGUGAAGUCACCAUCCAUGGAAGUGUUCAGCAAACGACUGGAUGUGACACUUAGUGCCAUGGUAUAGUUGACAAGGUGGUGAUCAGUCAAAGGUUGGACUUGAUGACCUUGGAGGUCUUUUCCAACCUGGAUGAUUCUGUGAUUCAUUAAAAAAAACGUUCUCAGAGGUUCUUUUUCUUGGUACUUGGAUCACCUUAAUAAAAAUGGUGAGCAGUAAACUGUGGUGUUUACA